GGAAUCUUGCGCAAUGGGCGAAAGCCUGACGCAGCGACGCCGCGUGAGGGAAGACGGCCUUCGGGUUGUAAACCUCUUUCAGGAGGGACGAAGCUACUCGGGUGAAUAGCCCAGAGGGUUACGGUACUUCCAGAAGAAGCCCCGGCUAACUACGUGCCAGCAGCCGCGGUAAUACGUAGGGGGCGAGCGUUGUCCGGAGUUACUGGGCGGAAAGAGCGUGUAGGCGGCCAGGCAGGUCCGUUGUGAAAACUGGAGGCUCAACCUCCAGACGUCGACGGAAACCGCUUGGCUAGAGUCCGGAAGAGGAGAGUGGAAUUCCUGGUGUAGCGGUGAAAUGCGCAGAUAUCAGGAAGAACACCGAUGUCGAAGGCAGCUCUCUGGGACGGUACUGACGCUGAGACGCGAAAGCGUGGGGAGCGAAC
rnacentral:rRNA from 1 species